GACGAACGCUGGCGGCGUGCUUAACACAUGCGAGUCGAACGGAAAGGGCCUGCUUUUGUGGGGUGCGCGAGUGGCGAAAGGGGGAGUAACACGUGAGUAACCUGCCCUUGACUUUGGGAGAACUUCAGGAAACUGGGGCUAAUACAGGAUAGGAGCACCUGCUGCAUGGGGGGGGUGGGAAAGUUUCGGAGGUUGGGGAUGGACUCGCGGCUUAUCAGCUUGUUGGUGGGGUAGUGGCUUACCAAGGCUUUGACGGGUAGCCGGCCUGGGAGGGUGACCGGCCACAUUGGGACUGAGAUACGGCCCAGACUCCUACGGGAGGCAGCAGUGGGGAAUAUUGCACAAUGGGCGGAAGCCUGAUGCAGCAACGCCGCGUGCGGGAUGACGGCCUUCGGGUUGUAAACCGCUUUCGCCUGUGACGAAGCGUGAGUGACGGUAAUGGGUAAAGAAGCACCGGCUAACUACGUG
rnacentral:rRNA from 1 species